rnacentral:ncRNA from 1 species
ACAUAUGCGAUGAUGAGAAGAGUAAGUAUAAAGUUUCUUUACAGAGAGCUCCGCAAGCUGAAAAGGAGUAAGAAAAUUUUUAUUGAAACAAGCCUCUGAGCAUUACAUUGGAACCUUAUUAGGGGGAUGGUGUAACGGGAGCUCCCGUUAUAGAGCUAGGGUAUAAGCACGUAAUUGCCGUACCUGAAAAGGUUAAUAUGGUGACAUAUUAAUAAACUGGGGUGGCACCACGAAUGAUAAAUCUCGUUCCCAAG